AUUGAACGCUGGCGGCAGGCCUAACACAUGCAAGUCGAACGAGUGGCGGACGGGUGAGUAAUGUCUGGGAACCUGCCCGAUGGAGGGGGAUAACUACUGGAAACGGUAGCUAAUACCGCAUACCAUCGGAUGUGCCCAGAUGGGAUUAGCUAGUAGGUGGGGUAACGGCUCACCUAGGCGACGAUCCCUAGCUGGUCUGAGAGGAUGACCAGCCACACUGGGACUGAGAGACGGUCGAGACGCCGACGGGAUGCAGCAGUGGGGAAGAUUGCACAAUGGGCGCAAGCCUGAUGCUGCCAUGCCGCGUGUAGGAAGAAGGCGUUCGGGUUGUAAAGUACGUUCAGCGAGGAGGCGUUACGCGCAGAAGAAGCACCGGCUAACUCCGUGCCAGCAGCCGCGGUAAUUC
rnacentral:rRNA from 1 species